rnacentral:rRNA from 1 species
GGGGGCAACCCUGAUCCAGCCAUGCCGCGUGCAGGAUGAAGGUCUUCGGAUUGUAAACUGCCUUUGUCAGGGACGAAAAGGGAUGCGAUAACACCGUAUUCCGCUGACGGUACCUGAAGAAUAAGCACCGGCUAACUACGUGCCAGCAGCCGCGGUAAUACGUAGGGUGCAAGCGUUAAUCGGAAUUACUGGGCGUAAAGCGUGCGCAGGCGGUUCUGUAAGAUAGAUGUGAAAUCCCCGGGCUCAACCUGGGAAUUGCAUAUAUGACUGCAGGACUUGAGUUUGUCAGAGGAGGGUGGAAUUCCACGUGUAGCAGUGAAAUGCGUAGAUAUGUGGAAGAACACCGAUGGCGAAGGCAGCCCUCUGGGACAUGACUGACGCUCAUGCACGAAAGCGUGGGGAGCAAACAGGAUUAGAUACCCUGGUAGUCCACGCCCUAAACGAUGUCUACUAGUUGUUGGGGACGAUAGUCCUUGGUAACGCAGCUAACGCGUGAAG